rfam:Phycisphaerae bacterium L21-RPul-D3, complete genome.
GGGCCCAUAGCUCAGUUGGUUAGAGCUACGGACUCAUAAUCCGUCGGUCCUUGGUUCGAGUCCAAGUGGGCCCA